GAGGGUUAUCAUAACAGGAGCAAACGGCCAAUUAGGAAAGCAACUAUUUGAAGAGUUAAACUCUGAAGAAUAUGAUAUAUAUCCAUUUGAUA
rnacentral:sRNA from 1 species